rnacentral:rRNA from 1 species
AGUGAACGCUGGCGGUAGGCCUAACACAUGCAAGUCGAACGGCAGCACAGUAAGAGCUUGCUCUUACGGGUGGCGAGUGGCGGACGGGGGAGGAAUACAUCGGAAUCUACUUUUUCGUGGGGGAUAACGUAGGGAAACUUACGCUAAUACCGCAUACGACCUACGGGUGAAAGCAGGGGAUCUUCGGACCUUGCGCGAUUGAAUGAGCCGAUGUCGGAUUCGCUAGUUGGCGGGGUAAAGGCCCACCAAGGCGACGAUCCGUAGCUGGUCUGAGAGGAUGAUCAGCCACACUGGAACUGAGACACGGUCCAGACUCCUACGGGAGGCAGCAGUGGGGAAUAUUGGACAAUGGGCGCAAGCCUGAUCCAGCCAUACCGCGUGGGUGAAGAAGGCCUUCGGGUUGUAAAGCCCUUUUGUUGGGAAAGAAAAGCAGCAGGUUAAUACCCCGCUGUUCUGACGGUACCCAAAGAAUAAGCACCGGCUAACUUCGUG